rfam:Paracoccidioides brasiliensis Pb18 unplaced genomic scaffold supercont2.3, whole genome shotgun sequence.
UCCUCGAUGGUCUAGUGGUCAUGAUUUCCGCUUGUCACUAUUGUCACUAGUAACCAUUUCAAGCGCGGGAGACCAGGGUUCGAUUCCCUGUCGGGGAG